rnacentral:lncRNA from 1 species
GAUUCUGUUUUUAUUCAGGUAUAGUGAGGCUAACAGAUCAGGAGAUGAUUGCUGUUGAAAAGAUAAUUUGUGCGGGGCACAGUGACUCAUGCCUGUAAUCCCAGCACUUUGGGAGGCCGGGGUGGGCAGAUCAUGAGGCCAGGAGCCUCCUGGACCAUCACAGACGCUUUGGAUAACUCUUACAGUGGAAGAAGAUAGGAGUGUCAGGCCUCUGAGCCCAAGCUAAGCCAUCAUAUCCCCUGUGACCUGCACAUAUACAUCCAGAUGGCCUGAAGCAACUGAAGAUCCACAAAAUAAGUGAAAAUAGCCAGUUCCUGCCUUAACUGGUGACAUUCCACCAUUGUGAUUUGUUCCUGCCCCACCCUAACUGAUCAAUUAACUUUGUGACAAUACACCUUCCCCACCCUUGCAAUAAUGUACUUUGUGAUAUUCCCCUGCCCUUGUGAAGGUACUUUGUAGGAUACACCCUCCCCACCCUUAAGAAGGUACUUUGUAAUAUUCUCCCCGCCCUUGAGAAUGUACUUUGUAAGAUCCAAC